AAUUUAGGAGUUUCUUCGUUCAAAUUUUCUUAUUUCUGAUGCAUUUGCUUCAAAUUUGACACCGAAACAGUUUUUUAGAUCUCUCCUCAAGUCAUUUAGUUCCUUAAUAUCACAUAUUUAAGCGAGUACAAUCAGUACAAUAUGAAAUUAAAAAAUGAAUUAAUAAUGUUUAUUUCAAACACAUAGUUCGUGACCAUUAUUCUCGUAAAAGUCGAAAAAAUCAUUAGCAACAGAAAACAUUUUUCAAUUGUUGCCAAGCAGAUGAUUAAUGAUUUUUAAGUAUCGGUUAGUUGGUUAUAUCGCACCUUAUUUGAGUAAUAGUCUUUGACACGAAUAAAUACAUAGCAAACGUUGACAAAGAUAGUACAACAAAUAAUAAAUCAAGUGAGAUGCAGGCGGAUCUGAAGGUUAUUAUUUUCAUACACAGAAUUGCACAGUACAUGUAUUUAAGUCCGUGUGUUUCAAAAAAUAAAUUCGUUUUUCGGCUGGUUGGAGCGUUUUUGGCGAUUUUUUCAAUCCCUCUGGGAUGUGUCCUUCUAAGGCCAAGAGUGACAUUUUUUAAGAGACUUCCAACAUCGUGUUUUAUUAUGGAUUUGGCUAACUUUUUCAUGGGCUAUACGUGCUUGGCGAUUUUCUGCGGCAUGCAAAACAUACCCCGAAGGAAUUGGCGAGCAAAAGUGUCCUCCAGAAUUGUACUAAUCGAGCGCAUGCUAACGAACAUGAAAUUUUCCUUCAAGAAAAAUAAACAAAUUGUUCUAAAAUAUUGGAUUCUGCAUGGUGUCUAUAUCUUGAUACAUAGUUUGCAGCUUUAUGACUGGUCGAGUAGAUACGAUUUUGAUAUAAUAUCGUCUUACUUGGAAUUCAGGAUUGUUAAUUAUUGGGCAGGGUUUUCUACGCUCAUGAUCUUCGAGUGGUUAAACUUCAUUAGAAGACGAUAUGAGCAUCUGGACCAAUACGUGAAAACAGUUGUUUCUCAAAAAGUUCUAUUACUUCCAGUUGUUGUGAAAGAGCUGCGCCUGAUUGGAGAAGUGUAUAAGAACCUCACGGAAUUAACGGUUGAAUUAAAUGCCCUAUUUUCCUUUCA